GACGAACGCUGGCGGCGUGCUUAACACAUGCAAGUCGAACGGCACUCAACCAGUGGCAACACUGGGGAAAGUGCAGUGGCGAACGGGUGAGUAACACGUGAGCAACCUGCCUCGAAGACUGGGAUAACAGCGGGAAACCGCUGCUAAUACCGGAUGCCCUCCUUGGACCGCAUGAUCCGAGGAGGAAAUGGAUUCCGCUCCGGGAGGGCCUCGCGGCCUAUCAGCUUGUUGGUGGGGUAACGGCCCACCAAGGCGUCGACGGGUAGCUGGUCUGAGAGGACGAUCAGCCACACUGGGACUGAGACACGGCCCAGACUCCUACGGGAGGCAGAAGUAGGGAAUCUUGCCCAAUGGGCGAAAGCCUGAGGCAGCAACGCCGCGUGGGGGAUGAAGGCUCUCGGGUUGUAAACCCCUUUCAGCAGGGACGAAACUGACGGUACCUGCAGAAGAAGCCCCGGCCAACUACGUGCCAGCAGCCGCGGUAACACGUAGGGGGCGAGCGUUGUCCGGAUUUAUUGGGCGUAAAGAGCUCGUAGGCGGCUCAGUUAGUCGGGUGUGAAACCUCCAGGCUCAACCUGGAGACGCCACCCGAUACUGCUGUGGCUAGAGUCCGGUAGGGGAGCGUGGAAUUCCUGGUGUAGCGGUGAAAUGCGCAGAUAUCAGGAGGAACACCAGCGGCGAAGGCGGCGCUCUGGGCCGGAACUGACGCUGAGGAGCGAAAGCGUGGGGAGCGAACAGGAUUAGAUACCCUGGUAGUCCACGCUGUAAACGUUGGGCACUAGGUGUGGG
rnacentral:rRNA from 1 species